CACCAGGUAUAUGACAUGUGGCCCCGCCCUAGUUCAUAUCCCACCAGGUAUAUGACAUGUGGCCCCGCCCUAGUUCAUAUCCCACCAGGUAUAUGACAUGUGGCCCCGCCCUAGUUCAUAUCCCACCAGGUAUAUGACAUGUGGCCCCGCCCUAGUUCAUAUCCCACCAGGUAUAUGACAUGUGGCCCCGCCCUAGUUCAUAUCCCACCAGGUAUAUGACAUGUGGCCCCGCCCUAGUUCAUAUCCCACCAGGUAUAUGACAUGUGGCCCCGCCCUAGUUCAUAUCCCACCAGGUAUAUGACAUGUGGCCCCGCCCUAGUUCAUAUCCCACCAGGUAUAUGACAUGUGGCCCCGCCCUAGUUCAUAUCCCACCAGGUAUAUGACAUGUGGCCCCGCCCUAGUUCAUAUCCCACCAGGUAUAUGACAUGUGGCCCCGCCCUAGUUCAUAUCCCACCAGGUAUAUGACAUGUGGCCCCGCCCUAGUUCAUAUCCCACCAGGUAUAUGACAUGUGGCCCCGCCCUAGUUCAUAUCCCACCAGGUAUAUGACAUGUGGCCCCGCCCUAGUUCAUAUCCCACCAGGUAUAUGACAUGUGGCCCCGCCCUAGUUCAUAUCCCACCAGUCACACACAUCUUUAACCCUUGUUGCGUGUCUUGUUUCCCA